rnacentral:miRNA from 1 species
GCCAAGAUCCAGGACAAG